rnacentral:lncRNA from 1 species
GGAGGCCUGGAAGCAAGGCCGAGAACCCGGCUGUGUUGUGCCUGCCCAGUGGGGCUCCCAUACACCCCUGAGGAGAAGAAAGUGGAGGGACUUUAGGCUGGAGAGAUCUGAUCCUAGUUCAGAAAAGCAGAGACCCCCUCAGAUUUAGACCCCCUAAGAGUUCGCAAAACAAACAAACAAAAAGCAUACAUUUGCUGGGAACAUCAGCAGCAGGGUCAGAAUCUGAGCCGAGCUAAGGGUGCAGGCCCUGCCCAGCCAGGAACGCAGGCCCGCGGCUCCAGCUCCGAUUCUUGGGCUCUUCUCCGCGGCACACCAGACUAGAGGUGCCUACUGACGACCAGCACCCGGCGGGCGCUUUCCAGUGGGGACAGUUCCCAGGAACCCUAGAGGGAGGGAGGGAGGGAAGACCGCCAGCGCUGGUGGCGAGCGGUUCGGUGGAGCCGGGACGGGGUGCAACGGGGCGUAAGCCCAGGUGACCCGCUCCCCGUCCUGCCUACUGCAGAGAAGGAGCGCGGCGGGGAACCCAAGGGGCCCGAGGACAGUGGUGCGGGAGGCACGGGCUGCGGCGGCGCAGACGACCCAGCCAAGAAGAAGAAGCAGCGGCGGCAACGUACGCACUUCACAAGCCAGCAGUUGCAAGAGCUAGAGGCCACGUUCCAGAGGAACCGCUACCCCGACAUGAGCAUGAGGGAGGAGAUCGCCGUGUGGACCAACCUCACCGAGCCGCGCGUGCGGGUCUGGUUCAAGAACCGGCGAGCCAAGUGGCGUAA